rnacentral:rRNA from 1 species
GACCAAGAAGUCUAACAUGUGUGCGAGUCAUUGGGUAUUUUGUUGAAACCUAAGGGCGCAAUUAAAAUAACUAUUUUAUGGGAUUACAAGUGAAUUAAAUUUCAUUUCUUCAUCCCGGGGCGUUCUAUACGAACAUGGUGCAAGCAAUUGAACCCUCUGUUCAAGAGCGUACCUUGAGCAUACAUGCUGUGACCCGAAAGAUGGUGAACUAUACCUGAUCAGAUCGAAGCCAGGAGAAAUUCUGGUGGAGGAUCGAAACAGUUCUGACGUGCAAAUCGAUUGUCAGAAUUGGGUAUAGGGGCGAAAGACCAAUCGAACCAUCUAGUAGCUGGUUCCCUCCGAAGUUUCCCUCAGGAUAGCUGGCGCAAAGAAUUAUAUUAUAUAUAAUCUUAUCUGGUAAAGCGAAUGAUUAGAGGCCUUGGGGCCGAAACGACCUCAACCUAUUCUCAAACUUUAAAUGGGUAAGAACCUCAUCUUUCUUGAUCUGAAGAUAUUGGGGUUUAGAUAUAUUGUGCCCAGUGGGCCACUUUUGGUAAGCAGAACUGGCGCUGUGGGAUGAACCAAACAUGAUGUUACGGCGCCUAAAUUAAUGACUCAUAUUGAUACCAUGAAAGGCGUUGGUUGCUUAAAACAGCAGGACGGUGGACAUGGAAGUCGUAAUCCGCUAAGGAGUGUGUAACAACUCACCUGCCGAAGCAACUAGCCCUUAAAAUGGAUGGCGCUCAAGUCAUAUGCCUAUACAUCAUCGCUAGAAUAAAAAUUGUUGAUCAUUUAUGGUCAUCAUUAUGAAAUUCUAGUGAGUAGGAGGGUACAAUGGUGUGCGCAGAAGUGUUUGGCGUGAGCCUGCAUGAAGCCGCCAUUGGCACAGAUCUUGGUGGUAGUAGCAAAUAAUCGAAUGAGAUCUUGGAGGACUGAAGUGGAGAAGGGUUUCGUGUGAACAGUGGUUGAUCACGAGUUAGUCGGUCCUAAGCUUUAUGCGAAAGCUGUUUAAUUUAUGUUACACACACAAUUUUUGAAAUUUGUUGUACAUAAUUCAAUAAAAGCGAAAGGGAAUACGGUUCCAAUUCCGUAACCUGUUGAGUAUACGUUUGUUUAUUAAAAAUGGGUCUUAUUACACUCAUCCUGGCAACAGGAACGACCAUAGAGAAGCCUUCGAGAGAUACUGGAAGAGUUUUCUUUUCUGCUAAACAAACGUAUCACCAUGGAAGUCUUUUAUAGAGAGAUAUGGUGGAUGGCUUGGAAGAGCAUGACAUUUACUGUUGUGUCAGUAUUUUCUCCUUGGACCUUGAAAAUCUAUGGUGGGGCCACGCAAACUUCUCAACAGACCGUACCGAUAUCCGCAG